CCUACGGGAGGCAGCAGUGAGGAAUAUUGGUCAAUGGACGAGAGUCUGAACCAGCCAAGUAGCGUGAAGGAUGACUGCCCUAUGGGUUGUAAACUUCUUUUAUAUGGGAAUAAAACAGGGUAUGCAUACCCUCUUGUAUGUACCAUAUGAAUAAGGAUCGGCUAACUCCGUGCCAGCAGCCGCGGUAAUACGGAGGAUCCGAGCGUUAUCCGGAUUUAUUGGGUUUAAAGGGAGCGUAGGUGGCUUGUUAAGUCAGUUGUGAAAGUUUGCGGCUCAACCGUAAAAUUGCAGUUGAAACUGGCAGUCUUGAGGACAGUAGAGGUGGGCGGAAUUCGUGGUGUAGCGGUGAAAUGCUUAGAUAUCACGAAGAACUCCGAUUGCGAAGGCAGCUUACUGGACUGCAACUGACACUGAUGCUCGAAAGUGUGGGUAUCAAACAGGAUUAGAUACCCCUGUAGUC
rnacentral:rRNA from 1 species